UACGAAGGGGGCUAGCGUUGCUCGGAAUCACUGGGCGUAAAGCGCACGUAGGCGGAUUGCUAAGUCAGGGGUGAAAUCCUGGAGCUCAACUCCAGAACUGCCUUUGAUACUGGCAACCUUGAGUCCGGGAGAGGUGAGUGGAACUGCGAGUGUAGAGGUGAAAUUCGUAGAUAUUCGCAAGAACACCAGUGGCGAAGGCGGCUCACUGGCCCGGUACUGACGCUGAGGUGCGAAAGCGUGGGGAGCAAAACAGGG
rnacentral:rRNA from 1 species